ACGGAAGGCAGCAGUGGGGAAUAUUGCACAAUGGGCGCAAGCCUGAUGCAGCCAUGCCGCGUGUAUGAAAAAGGCCUUCGGGUUGUAAAGUACUUUCAGUCGUGAGGAAGGUGUUAAGGUUAAUAACCUUAGCAAUUGACGUUAGCGACAGAAGAAGCACCGGCUAACUCCGUGCCAGCAGCCGCGGUAAUACGGAGGGUGCGAGCGUUAAUCGGAAUUACUGGGCGUAAAGGGCACGCAGGCGGUUAAUUAAGUUGGAUGUGAAAUCCCCGGGCUUAACCUGGGAAUGGCAUUCAAGACUGGUUAGCUAGAGUCUUGUAGAGGGGGUAGAAUUCCAUGUGUAGCGGUGAAAUGCGUAGAGAUGUGGAGGAAUACCGGUGGCGAAGGCGGCCCCUGGACAAAGACUGACGCUCAUGUGCGAAAGCGUGGGGAGCAAACAGGGAUUAGAUACC
rnacentral:rRNA from 1 species